ACCCGCUGAACUUAAGCUAUCAAUAAGCGGAGGAAAAGAAACUAACAAGGAUUCCCCUAGUAACGGCGAGUGAAGCGGGAAGAGCUCAAAUUUAAAAUCUGGCAGUGUAUUCUGUCCGAGUUGUAGUCUAGAGAAGCAUCAUCCGUGCUGGACCAUGUACAAGUCUCUUGGAACAGAGCGUCAUAGAGGGUGAGAAUCCCGUCCUUGACAUGGACUCCCAGUACUUUGUGUUGUGCUCUCAACGAGUCGAGUUGUUUGGGAAUGCAGCUCAAAAUGGGUGGUAAAUUCCAUCUAAAGCUAAAUAUUGGCGAGAGACCGAUAGCGAACAAGUACCGUGAGGGAAAGAUGAAAAGCACUUUGGAGAGAGAGUUAAACAGUACGUGAAAUUGUUGAAAUGGAAACGCUUGAAGUCAGUCGCGUUCUCUGGGACUCAGCCUUGCUUUUGCUUGGUGUAUUUCCUAGUCUACGGGCCAGCAUGAAUUUUGACCAAUGGAAAAAGGCUUGGGGAAUGUGGCACCCUCGGGUGUGUUAUAGCCCCUUGUCACAUACGUUGGUUGGGAUUGAGGUCUUAGUGCACGCUUCGGUUGUGCUUUGAUGCUGGCGUAAUGGCUUU
rnacentral:rRNA from 1 species